CAGGCGCGAAAACUUCGCAAUGGGGGAAACCCCGACGAGGGAAUUCCAAGUGCCAGCACUUUGUGUUGGCUGUUCUUCUGUCUAAAAAACAGGAGGAGUAAGGGGCGGGUAAGACGGGUGCCAGCCGCCGCGGUAAUACCCGCGCCCCCAGUGGUGGUCGAUAUUAUUGAGCCUAAAACGUCCGUAGCCGGUCUUCUAAAUCCUUGGGUAAAUCGGGCAGCUCAACUGUCCGAAUUCCGGGGAGACUGGGAGACUUGGGACCGGGAGAGGUCAGAGGUACUUCUGGGGUAGGGGUAAAAUCCUGUAAUCCUGGAAGGACCACCGGUGGCGAAGGCGUCUGACUAGAACGGAUCCGACGGUGAGGGACGAAGCCCUGGGGCGCAAACGGGAUUAGAUACCCCGGUAGUCCAGGGUGUAAACGCUGCGGGCUUGGUGUUGGGGGUCCUUAGUGGGCGCCCAGUGCCGGAGAGAAGUUGUAAGCCUGC
rnacentral:rRNA from 1 species